UACGUAGGGCGCAAGCGUUGUCCGGAAUUAUUGGGCGUAAAGAGCUCGUAGGCGGCUUGUCACGUCGGGUGUGAAAGCCCGGGGCUUAACCCCGGGUCUGCAUUCGAUACGGGCAGGCUAGAGUGUGGUAGGGGAGAUCGGAAUUCCUGGUGUAGCGGUGAAAUGCGCAGAUAUCAGGAGGAACACCAAUGGCGAAGGCAGCUCGCUGGAACGGUACUGACGCUGAGGCGCGAAAGCGUGGGGAGCGAACAGG
rnacentral:rRNA from 1 species